UGACUUUCUGUGCCCUGACACUCUUCUACUUU
rnacentral:piRNA from 1 species